rnacentral:lncRNA from 1 species
GUUUACAUUGGUGAUGUCCUGUCGGCCACUGUACUGUCUUUUUGUAGACAUAUUUGACCUGUGUAGCUCAUAGAAAAAUAUAACUAAACACCUUUUGAUCUGCAAUCGAAUAUAUGUUUUCUGAUCACUCAGUACAUGUAUUAUUCUAUGUUGUGAUCUGACUCUAUUGUUUCUGGUUAAGUUGAUGGUAGGUGCCUAUUAAAACGUUUAAACCUGUUUGUUUGCACUUGGCCUAAGUCAGGAACUUGAUGUUCAGUGGUUGUCGUUUGUUAAUGUGGUUCAUAAGUGUUUCUCGUUUCCCUUUAUAUAUAUAGAUUAGACCGUUGGUUUCUGUAUGAAUGGUUCGAUGUGAAACCAUGCUGUGUGUUUAAGGCUAUACGUUUUUUUUUACAAAUUGUGAAUUGGAUGGAAAGUUGUCUCAUUGUCACUCAUACCACAUCUUCUUAUAUUUAUAUAAGGCCACAAAUUCACUAACAGAUAUA